GUGAAAACUGAAAGAAAAAUGAAAAGAAACGAAAUAAAAUAGGAUCGGACUAUCGGGAGGAAUUGCGGGACAUACGCUGGAAGAUACGCACAGGCAGGCCAACAUGAGGAAGAUGAAGGUGAAGAGGCCAGAGAAGGAAACUGCGACCACGGCCAGAGAGGACGACCAGGAAAGCUCGCUUAGCGGGGCGCCGUCUGCAGGACAGAGGAGGAAGCGUAUGUGAAGAGUGAGCUGCUUGGUGUGACCUGUAUGUGGUCUCUGUGUCUGUAGAGAGAGGCCCUGGGCGACACUUCCUGGAGGAAAAGCUCUUCUUUACCCAGAUAUCGGGGUAAG